CAGGCGUGCCUUUCAGGCAUCCUCUCCCAAGACUUUCAGACCCGGUUGGUCAUUCCUCGGAAUACCAGCCGGGUUUUUUCUUGCUUGCG
rnacentral:sRNA from 1 species